rnacentral:rRNA from 1 species
UAGGGAAUCUUCCGCAAUGGGCGAAAGCCUGACGGAGCAACGCCGCGUGAGUGAUGAAGGUCUUCGGAUCGUAAAACUCUGUUAUUAGGGAAGAACAAAUGUGUAAGUAACUAUGCACGUCUUGACGGUACCUAAUCAGAAAGCCACGGCUAACUACGUGCCAGCAGCCGCGGUAAUACGUAGGUGGCAAGCGUUAUCCGGAAUUAUUGGGCGUAAAGCGCGCGUAGGCGGUUUUUUAAGUCUGAUGUGAAAGCCCACGGCUCAACCGUGGAGGGUCAUUGGAAACUGGAAAACUUGAGUGCAGAAGAGGAAAGUGGAAUUCCAUGUGUAGCGGUGAAAUGCGCAGAAAUAUGGAGGAACACCAGUGGCGAAGGCGACUUUCUGGUCUGUAACUGACGCUGAUGUGCGAAAGCGUGGUGAUCAAACAGG